rnacentral:lncRNA from 1 species
GGAUGGAGAUCGGUGCAGCGGAAGCACGAGGAGGAAGGCGGAGGAAGCCACCUUGAAGCACCACCGGAUGGCGCUCACGUCCGCAGAAACGGCCGCGCA